GAUGAACGCUGGCGGCGUGCCUAAUACAUGCAAGUCGAGCGAACAGACGAGGAGCUUGCUCCUCUGACGUUAGCGGCGGACGGGUGAGUAACACGUGGAUAACCUACCUAUAAGACUGGGAUAACUUCGGGAAACCGGAGCUAAUACCGGAUAAUAUAUUGAACCGCAUGGUUCAAUAGUGAAAGACGGUUUUGCUGUCACUUAUAGAUGGAUCCGCGCCGCAUUAGCUAGUUGGUAAGGUAACGGCUUACCAAGGCGACGAUGCGUAGCCGACCUGAGAGGGUGAUCGGCCACACUGGAACUGAGACACGGUCCAGACUCCUACGGGAGGCAGCAGUAGGGAAUCUUACGCAAUGGGCGAAAGCCUGACGGAGCAACGCAGCGUGAGUGAUGAAGGUCUUCGGAUCGUAAAACUCUGUUAUUAGGGAAGAACAAAUGUGUAAGUAACUAUGCACGUCUUGACGGUACCUAAUCAGAAAGCCACGGCUAACUACGUG
rnacentral:rRNA from 1 species